rnacentral:rRNA from 1 species
AACGAACGCUGGCGGCAUGCCUAACACAUGCAAGUCGAACGAGACCUUCGGGUCUAGUGGCGCACGGGUGCGCAACACGUGGGAAUUUGCCUCGGGGUAUGGAAUAACUCAGGGAAACUUGAGCUAAUACCAUAUAAUGUCUUCGGACCAAAGAUUUAUUGCCCUGAGAUAAGCCCGCGUAGGAUUAGCUAGUUGGUGAGGUAAAGGCUCACCAAGGCGACGAUCCUUAGCUGGUCUGAGAGGAUGAUCAGCCACACUGGGACUGAGACACGGCCCAGACUCCUACGGGAGGCAGCAGUGGGAAUAUUGGACAAUGGGCGAAAGCCUGAUCCAGCAAUGCCGCGUNAGUGAUGAAGCCUUCGGUUGUAAGUACUCUUUACUCGGUACGACUAAUAGACGGUACC